rnacentral:lncRNA from 1 species
UGGGUAACACAUGUGAAAUAUUACCAUAACAAGCAAAAGAGUACAAUCUAAAGAGCAUCUAGUGUUCCUCAACCACAUUCUAAGGAGGGUGUCUUAAAACCACUAGAUCUCCAGAAAACUAGUUACAAAUUAGUUGUGUAUAAAACUAUGACAUUUAUAUGCUUUCCCUGACCCCUAUAACAUAUAUAUCAUUUCCUUCAGUUCCUUUUGUAUAUGUGCAUUAACAAAUUCACCAUUUACAUUCUGAUGAUUAAAAAUUCUCUUGUUCCUAGCUAUCUAGGUGUAGAAGACCAAUGCACCCCAGGCUGCUGCGAUAACUUCCUUUUGAAACUGCUUCCACCUUUUCUUUUUGAUCCAUUUAAUUGUUUCGUAAACUCCUCUGGAUGAUAAUUGAACCCCUAGGCAUGUACACAUAAGGAUUUUCACAGCAGUAAUCCACUUACACUAAGUAAAUAAGUGAUGGUGUGUCUCCAACACACUCUCAUCACACAAACAAUAUAGGCGAAAAAAUAGUUUUAAAUUAUAAACCUCGUAUCUGAUUUUGUAAUUAAUGUAAGAACGAAGUUUGUCUAAUGAUAUAAUUGAGUUUUAUGUAUCUAUCUUUUUUCAUUCUUUUUGUGCCUAUGAAGAGGCUCACCUUAUAUCUCCAACAAGUGGUAUUAGAGUGUUGGUUCAAUCUUAAAAGGUGUAAACUUGAAGGUUUUGACAAUCUCCAUUGAAGGUGUGUUUCGGGGUUUGAGGACUUGUUAAGAGACUGACUAUUUGCAAAGAAAAGAGUGAAUUUCUUUGGAUUUGUAAAGAAAGAGCAACUUAUCGAAAUGGUGUCUUAAAAAUUUCACAAGAUGAAAAAGAAGACGUGAGAAGUCUUCCAUGAAAUUGUGUUUGCAAUAUCUAGAAGUUAUAAUAAGGAUAUGGAGAAUGAAUUGCCUAUAUUAUUGAGGGAUGCACACAAAGAUGUUGAAAAUAAAAGUCCAAUUGAUACUGUAUCAGGUUGAAUUCUCAAGCACUACUAUUUGUCUUUCAAACUAGGAAUGUUUUGAUUUAUCUCUAACAUGCAUAGACAGUUACUGAAGAAGCAACAAGUUACUAUAGACUAGUAUUGAUUACUAGAUGUAUCAACAACACAUGCGCAAAAAAUCAUAUUACAAAACUAAAGAAUCGUUUGGUAGGAUGUAUUACGGAAAGUAAUACAUGUAUAAGUAUUAAUUUUAUCUUGUUUGAUAGUAUUUUUAACAUAUAUAUAAAUAUUUUUAGAAAUAAGUAUUUCUAAAAAUGAACUGACAGGUAUAAUUUUCUUGUUUACUGUCAGUGGAGAGAAGUUAAUCUCUAUUGAUAUUAGUAAUAUAUCCGAGUUACAAAUACAUGAACCAAUAUGGAUAAAGACAAAAUUAUCUUUCCUCACCAUUACUAAUACACCUCAUUAUGUACUAUUUUUAUAUAUCCUACUAAACGAUCCCUACGAUUAAACCGCACAGGCACCUAAAGCUAGUUUUUAUCGUACUCUAAUAAACUCAUGCCAUAAAACACACUACAUAACUUAUACAUUAUUGAGUUGAUCCUAUAAGAAAAUAUGGAUCCCCCACAACUUCGACUAAGCAAAAAUAUAAUUACAGUAAUAAAUAGGGAUGGGCAUAAAUAUCGGAAAAUCGAAAAACCGAACCAAACUAUUUUGGUUCUUCGGUGUCUGUUUUUUUGGUCGAAACUUCGGUUCUUCGAUUCGGAGUUCGGUGUAAGGGUCUCGAAACUACGGUGCACCGAAGAACCGAAGUUUUAUUUUUAAAUUUAUUUAAUAAAACUUAUAUAUUUUGACUCAAAAUAUUUACCUGGCCCAUUUCAAUUUUUAAAUUUUGGAGCCUAAACAAAAAAGUAAAGGGCACCCAGCCUAAACAAAACUAUUUUGAUGUUAUUACUUUUUAUUGUUAGACUGUUAGUUGUUACUUUGAAGUUUGAAAUUUGAAUUGUUAAUUUAUCAUAUUCCCUUUUUAUUUUUAUUUUUAUUCACACCAAAAAACCAAUUUAAAAACACCGAACUAAACCGAACCAAAGUAGAAAAAAUCGAACCGAACCGAUCUAGUUUAAUUUGAAAUACGAUGCACACUUUUCUAAAACCGAAUACAGAAGAACCGAACCGAAAUUUGAUUAAAUCGAACCGAACUCCCACCCCUAGUAAUAAAUACUUGAAAAGUAAAAUAUAAGAUGCUUCUAGUCUUCACCAGUAUAACUAUAACGCACCUGAGAAAAUAAGCGACGGUUUUUCCACAAUGCUGAGUCGUGAUUAGAUGCCUUGUCUUCCAAAAACUUUUGAUCUGAAAAUUCCAGAUGAAAAAGCAAUUAAAGUAUGAUCACGAUAUACAAGUUGUAAUAAACUACUUGAGGGAAGAAAAUAAAAUAUGACGCAAAAUUAUCGAAAACCAAAAUCCGUACAGAAGAAAAGGUGAAAAUUGCCUUUGGCUGUCGAAAAAAAACCCUGAAAAUUAAGCUAAAAUGGAAAAGUAUACGACACAAACAGCGAAUCGGUGUCUGAAUCAACGCCAUUAAAAACGCGAGAACAAGCACUGAUGAGAAGAAAACCUUUAGCAAACAGCAUCGGAAAAAAUUGAUCGUACAAUUCGAUUCGAAGAAGAUCGGAGAGAUGAACGAACUACCGAAGAAAAGUGAGUGAUUAUUGUGGUAUUUGAUGCAAAAAUGGAGAUGAGAGACAUGAAUACGUACCUGUAACACGAGUUCGAUUCUAGAAAUGGAAGGAGAGAUAGAAAGAGAGAGAGGGAAGCGGAAUGGUGUAGAGAGAG